GAAAAAAAUCUUGAACACAUGAAAGAAAAGAAAAUUUGUUAAGGGAAGGGAUGAUGCAUCUUUAGCAAAUAUUUGUAGGAGGAAAAUAGGCAGCAGAAUUACAAACCUUUUUAGUUUAUUAUAAUUAUUCAUGCUUCCCCAACUUCUUGUUUCUGUUGGAAUGGGUAGUCUAUAUCUUUCUUUGUUAUCUCAGCUGAGGGUAUUGGACAGCUUUCAUUAGGGAACGAUAUAUUCUGG
rnacentral:misc_RNA from 1 species